rnacentral:lncRNA from 1 species
AGAUCAAAUAUUGUACCCCAGUGACAAGAUGUCCCUGGUCAAACUUCGUGAAGAUUUGACAAUGGAACUACUCUGGAUAGAGCAAGCAAUUGAAAGUAGAAUAAAUGUAAGUAUGCCCUGCGGUAUGCCUUACUGAAUGUUAUUUAAAUCCAUCACAACUUGCAAAAGUACAGCCUAUGCAACAUUUGCAUAACAGAACAAUAGUGUCAUCUAGUCACACUGACGUCUUUUCAUUUGAAAAUACUGUUUUAUAUUCCAUUGCACAGUUGGAAGGGAGGGUGUCAUGACCAAAAAAUGAACGAGUAUCGCCAUCGGCUGGAUCGUUUCUGGAAGGGCCUAGGUGGUGAAGGCUGAAAACCAAAAGUCAGUUAGCCAUUUUUUUUGUUUUAGUACUUGGCUAUGAAAGAGAAUAUGGACCAACAAUUGAACGACGACUAACUUAUAUGGUCAUGAACAUGAAGGCCACAAAUGUUACUGUAGUUAUUAAUUUAUGAAGCAUUAGUGUUUUAUUAAAUGAUCCAUUAGGGGGUGCAAAGAUUUCACAAUUAGGGGGUGCAAAGUAGUGUUGUGCGCCGGAGUUGCCGGAGCCGGAGUUCUGCCGGAGCUCCGGCAGUUUUUCCAACGCCGGAGCCGAAUUUUGUAUGCUGGAGCCGGAGUUACGUUUUCCCAGCUCCGGCAAAAUGACAAGAAAACAAUAUGAAACGAGACAAAUGUCAAACGAUUGUUAGUUACUGCAAACUGCCAUUUGCUGUUAAUGAAUUUAUCAUAGACUCAAACUGCCACAGCCCACAGGAACAGCGUCGAAAAGCUGUACGAUCACAACUUAC